rnacentral:lncRNA from 1 species
AUGAUCGGCCAGAAACACAGAAGCAGCAGUCAACUUUUUGACAGUUCAAUGGGGUACAGGAGCGGGCAGAGGUCGGGGGAGGGCUCGGCUCCUUCGGCUCGGCGCUGCUCCGCCGGAGCGCUGCGAGGCUCCGCGAGCCGCCGUGGGAGCGGGGACCCAGCCCGGCCCCGCAGUUCGGCGGUGCGGGAGCGGGGCGAGAUCCCCGCCCCUGGAAGCGGCUGCUCCUUCCCUCGGCUCCCCGCAGCGGGGGAGCAGAAGCCUCCUCCCGGCUCCGCGAGCGGCGUUUUUAGCGGCUCCUUUCCCCGGCUCGGGGAGCUGCCCCCCGCCGGGUGCGGGACGGGGAGGGCCCCUUCAGCCCUUCGCUCGCCCCUAGCCCGGGGGCAGCGCGGCCACCUCUGCCCGCCCGUCCCCGCCGCCUCUCGCAGCGGAGCCCCGAGGGCUGUGCGAGCGGUCAGCGCCUCUGCCCCGCGGGGCGACCCCGGGCAGAAGCCGCCCGCAUCCACCGCCCCGAGGGAACAUCCCUCGGCCGCAUCCCGCCGCUCAAGGUCACCUCAGCGCGGGGCUGCCCCCCCGGGGGUCGCCGCUCCCCGCAGCCCCCAAGCAGCGCCGGUAGAUCCGGGCCGCGCCGGGCUCCUGCUCCUACCUGAGCCGGCGAGCGGAGCCGAGCCGAGCGGAGCCGCCGGGAGCGCGGAGGCGGCCGCUGUCCCCUCAGCAGCGGCGGCGGCGCCCGGGGAGUGGGGCCGCGCACGGCGCCUCCCUCCUGCGCCGGGCCGCUGCGCUGCGGUGGGCGGCGGCGGCGGCGGCGNGGGCCGCUGCGCUGCGGUGGGCGGCGGCGGCGGCGGCGGGGGGGGGGGGGGGGGGGGGGGGGGGGGGGGGGGGGGGGGGGGGGGGGGGGGGGGGGGGGGGGGGGGGGCGGGCAGCGCCUCUCCCCUCCCCGCCGAGGUGCCGGCCCCAGCGGAGCGGAGCGGAGCCUCCCCCGGCAGGGCUGGGGCUCCCCUCAGCGGGGAGAGGCCGGCGCCGCGCCCGGCUCCGCCGCGGCUGCAGGGGGCGCGCAGCGGCGCCCCCCGCUCAGCGGGCUCGGCCCCGGGCUCCCGGGUGGGCGCCCCUCAGGCCCCGCAGCCCCGAGGAGGGAGGGGAGCCCUGGGGGAUGCGGGGGUCCCUCAGCCUUCACCGCUUGUCACGGUGCUGACGUUCGCCUCUCGCAGCCCCGGGGGCUCCCAAAAUGUCAGGGGACCGGUGAGGGUGGCUCUGAGCUCGGCGAGAGGGGCUUGA